rnacentral:misc_RNA from 1 species
GUAGGUGAACCUGCGGAAGGAUCAUUGUCGAGACCCAUAAAGGAUUGGAUGACCCUUGAUAACCCGUGGACAUGUGGCAGCGUCAGCUGCCUAUAAAUGCCAUUCGCCCGGUGCCCCCUUCUCGAUCGGAGCAUCAAAAUGGGUGGAUGCAACCUAUCAAUUGGGCGCCGCGCCGCGCCAAGGAAGCGUUGUCACGAGCAUUGACCACUAUCCGUAGGAGCUCGAAGGGCUUAACGGUGCGUUGUUGUUGCUUUUGAAAUACUGURUGACUCCCGGCAAUGGAUAUCUUGGCUCUUGCAUCGAUGA